CGACCGGCGGCACGGGUGAGUAACACGUAUGCAACCUGGCUGUAAGACGGGGAAUAACCCGGAGAAAUCCGGACUAAUACCGCAUAAUACUUAGAAUCCGCAUGGAUUUUAAGUUAAACAUUUAUGGCUUACAGAUGGGCAUGCGUAUGAUUAGCUGGUUGGAGAGGUAACGGCUCCCCAAGGCAACGAUCAUUAGGGGUUCUGAGAGGAAGGUCCCCCACACUGGUACUGAGACACGGACCAGACUCCUACGGGAGCAGCAGUGAGGAAUAUUGGUCAAUGGACGCAAGUCUGAACCAAGCCAAGUCGCGUGAAGGAAGAAUGUCCUAUGGAUUGUAAACUUCUUUUGAAGGGGAAUAAAGUACGGUACGUGUACCGUUUUGUAUGUACCCUUCGAAUAAGGAUCGGCUAACUCCGUGCCAGCCGCCGC
rnacentral:rRNA from 1 species